rnacentral:rRNA from 1 species
AUUGAGUGAAAAACUAAGAGGUUAGUCCCUCUCUUCGGAGACACAAAAACAGGUGGUGCAUGGCUGUCGUCAGCUCGUGUCGUGAGAUGUUGGGUUAAGUCCCGCAACGAGCGCAACCCUUAUCCUUUGUUGCCAGCACGUAAAGGUGGGAACUCAAGGGAGACUGCCGCAGACAAUGCGGAGGAAGGCGGGGAUGACGUCAAGUCAUCAUGCCCCUUAUGUCCUGGGCUACACACGUACUACAAUGGGCUUAAACAAAGCGCAGCAAAACCGCGAGGUUAAGCGAAACGCAUAAACAAGCUCUCAGUUCGGAUCGGAGGCUGCAACUCGCCUCCGUGAAGUCGGAAUCGCUAGUAAUCGCAGGUCAGCAUACUGCGGUGAAUACGUUCCCGGGCCUUGUACACUCCGCCCGUCACACC